rnacentral:misc_RNA from 1 species
AAGAAAUUAUAUAAUUGAGAUACAACACACCUAGAAUAAAGUCAUAAAGAAAUGGACUAAAAAUCUGAAUUUUUUAACAAUUAUAUUGGGAAGAGGGAAAAAAAACUAUCAUCUAUAAUAACGUACUAACAUCAGAUAUUUAAUGUCAUUUGAUCACUCCAGUGGUAACAUCUAAGCGACACCCUUGAUUAUUGUGGUUAAAUUUUCUCCACAGCCAAAACCAAAAUACCAAAGCGAUGGAGAGAUUUUAUUGACAUCAAAA